rnacentral:misc_RNA from 1 species
GAUGAAGAACGUAGCGAAAUGCGAUAAGUAGUGUGAAUUGCAGAAUUCAGUGAAUCAUCGAAUCUUUGAACGCACAUUGCGCCCUUUGGUAUUCCUUAGGGCAUGCCUGUUCGAGCGUCAUUUAAACCUUCAAGCUAAGCUUGGUGUUGGGUGACUGUCCGCUUCACGGCGGACUCGCCUCAAAAUUAUUGGCGGCCGGUACAUUGGCUUCGAGCGCAACAGAAACGCGAACUCGGGCCCGUCGUAUUGGCUCCCAGAAGCUAUCUUCACAAUUUUGACCUCGGAUCAGGUAGGGAUACCCGCUGAACUUAAGCAUAUCAAUAAGCGGAGGA